rnacentral:rRNA from 1 species
AACGAACGCUGGCGGCAUGCCUAACACAUGCAAGUCGAACGAGACCUUCGGGUCUAGUGGCGCACGGGUGCGUCACGCGUGGGAACCUGCCCUUAGGUUCGGAAUAACUCCCCGAAAGGGGUGCUAAUACCGGAUAAUGUCUUCGGACCAAAGAUUUAUCGCCUUUGGAUGGGCCCGCGUUGGAUUAGCUAGUUGGUAGGGUAAAAGCCUACCAAGGCGACGAUCCAUAGCUGGUCUGAGAGGAAGAUCAGCCACACUGGGACUGGGACACGGCCCAGACUCCUACGGGAGGCAGCAGUGGGGAAUAUUGGACAAUGGGCGAAGGCCUGAUCCAGCAAUGCCGCGUGAGUGAUGAAGUCCUGAGGGUAGUAAAGCUCUUUUACCCGGGAUGAUAAUGACAGUACCGGGAGAAUAAGCACCGGCUAACUCCGUG